rnacentral:sRNA from 1 species
UUUUUGCUAUCUGCGAUCUGGAUGAUUCGAACCUGCAGCAGGUUCGAGCCAAACGUAGUGAGGCACCGGAGCCGUUUACGGCGACGGCCCGAAGGGCGAGCGAAGCGAGUCAUCCUGCACGACCCACCA